rnacentral:sRNA from 1 species
GCACGGAAGGUCCAACGACUGUCCAGGAUGAGGCC